rnacentral:tRNA from 1 species
GGAGGGUUAGCUCAGUGGCAGAGCGCGUGCUUAGCAUGCACAAGGUCCUGAGUUCAAUCCCCAGUACCUGCG